rnacentral:rRNA from 1 species
UUAGAGUUUGAUCCUGGCUCAGGAUGAACGCUGGCGGCGCGCCUAACACAUGCAAGUCGAACGGCACCCAUCUUCGGAUGGAAGCGAGUGGCGAACGGCUGAGUAACACGUGGAGAACCUGCCCCCUCCCCCGGGAUAGCCGCCCGAAAGGACGGGUAAUACCGGAUACCCCGGGGUGCCGCAUGGCACCCCGGCUAAAGCCCCGACGGGAGGGGAUGGCUCCGCGGCCCAUCAGGUAGACGGCGGGGUGACGGCCCACCGUGCCGACAACGGGUAGCCGGGUUGAGAGACCGACCGGCCAGAUUGGGACUGAGACACGGCCCAGGCUCCUACGGGAGGCAGCAGUGGGGAAUCUUGCGCAAUGGGGGGAACCCUGACGCAGCGACGCCGCGUGCGGGACGGAGGCCUUCGGGUCGUAAACCGCUUUCAGCAGGGAAGAGUCAAGACUGUACCUGCAGAAGAAGCCCCGGCUAACUACGUGCCAGCAGCCGCGGUAAUACGUAGGGGGCGAGCGUUAUCCGGAUUCAUUGGGCGUAAAGCGCGCGUAGGCGGCCCGGCAGGCCGGGGGUCGAAGCGGGGGGCUCAACCCCCCGAAGCCCCCGGAACCUCCGCGGCUUGGGUCCGGUAGGGGAGGGUGGAACACCCGGUGUAGCGGUGGAAUGCGCAGAUAUCGGGUGGAACACCGGUGGCGAAGGCGGCCCUCUGGGCCGAGACCGACGCUGAGGCGCGAAAGCUGGGGGAGCGAACAGGAUUAGAUACCCUGGUAGUCCCAGCCGUAAACGAUGGACGCUAGGUGUGGGGGGACGAUCCCCCCGUGCCGCAGCCAACGCAUUAAGCGUCCCGCCUGGGGAGUACGGCCGCAAGGCU